rnacentral:misc_RNA from 1 species
AAUGCUCUGAGAUCUGGUAGACAUUCAUAGAAAGCCCUUGUAUCUUCAUCAUCCCACAGGGCUUCUAGGGAAGAAGAAUCUUUACUACCACCAGGGGAUGAUGCAUCUUCCCCCGAUGUUACCCUGGUUGUAUGACCAUCCUCGGGCAUCACCGGAGGUUGCAAGUCAAGUGCUUCUGCCAAUCCUGAGAUGCCACGAUACAGCUGGUCAUAAGCUUUCCGCAGUUUCUCAUAUGCAGAAGCAUUCUCUUCAUUCAGUUCACCUUUGGCAGAUAAAAUCUUUUCAUUUUCAUGCUCCAUUUGCCGAAGUGAAGCAUGCUCAGAUUGAAGAAGUUCUACCGACGCAUCAUAAUAUGUUUGGAACACCUUCCUAAAGAACCUUUUCUGAUCAGUAGUCACAUUGAGGGCCUUGAAAAGCUCCUCAAGAAUAUCUUGGCCAGCCAAUUGAAGCCCAAGCAGGUAUCUUCCUUGUCGAGCAAAGCUAGCAAGAAGUGACAAAUUAGUCUGAGUUGCAUCUCGGUCCUUCAAAUGCUCAACACUCGUGAGGUCCUUAACAAUGUUCACAAAGAUGCCAGUAUCGUCAACAACUCCAACAAAGUAAAGUUCCAAUAGAAGUUUUAAAGUGCUACGCUUUUUCAUAGCCCUCGCAUUUCUG